UACGUAGGUGGCAAGCGUUGUCCGGAUUUAUUGGGCGUAAAGCGCGCGCAGGCGGUUCUUUUAAGUCUGAUGUGAAAGCCCCCGGCUCAACCGGGGAGGGUCAUUGGAAACUGGGGAACUUGAGUGCAGAAGAGAAGAGCGGAAUUCCACGUGUAGCGGUGAAAUGCGUAGAGAUGUGGAGGAACACCAGUGGCGAAGGCGGCUCUUUGGUCUGUAACUGACGCUGAGGCGCGAAAGCGUGGGGAGCAAACAGG
rnacentral:rRNA from 1 species